GAACGGGUGAGUAACACGUGGGUAACCUGCCCAGAAUAGGGGAUAACACCUGGAAACAGAUGCUAAUACCGUAUAACAGAGAAAACCGCAUGGUUUUCUUUUAAAAGAUGGCUCUGCUAUCACUUCUGGAUGGACCCGCGGCGUAUUAGCUAGUUGGUGAGGUAAAGGCUCACCAAGGCAGUGAUACGUAGCCGACCUGAGAGGGUAAUCUGCCCAUUGGGACUGAGACACGGCCCAGACUCCUACGGGAGGCAGCAGUAGGGAAUCUUCCACAAUGGACGCAAGUCUGAUGGAGCAACGC
rnacentral:rRNA from 1 species